GACGAACGCUGGCGGCGUGCUUAACACAUGCAAGUCGAACGGAAAGGCCCGGCUUUUGUUGGUUGCUCGAUUGGCGAACGGGUGAGUAACACGUGAGUAACCUGCCCUUGACUUUGGGAUAACUUCAGGAAACUGGGGCUAAUACCGGAUAUGAUCUCCUGCUGCGUGGUGUGGGUUGGAAAGUUUCGGCGGUUGGGGAUGGACUCGCGGCUUAUCAGCUUGUUGGUGGGGUAGUGGCUGACCAGGGCUUUGACGGGUAGCCGGCCUGAGAGGGUGACCGGCAACCUUGGGACUGAGAUACGGCCCAGAAUCCUACGGGAGGCAGUAGUGGGGAAUAUUGCAGAAUGGGCGGAAGCCUGAGGCAGCAACGCCGCGUGCGGGAUGACGGCCUUCGGGUUGUAAACCGCUUUGGCCUGUGACGAAGCGUGAGUGACGGUAAUGGGUAAAGAAGCACCGGCUAACUACGUG
rnacentral:rRNA from 1 species